GAUGAACGCUGGCGGCGUGCCUAAUACAUGCAAGUCGAGCGAACGGACGAGAAGCUUGCUUCUCUGAUGUUAGCGGCGGACAGGUGAGUAACACGUGGAUAACCUACCUAUAAGACUGGGAUAACUUCGGGAAACCGGAGCUAAUACCGGAUAAUAUUUUGAACCGCAUGGUUCAAAAGUGAAAGACGGUCUUGCUGUCACUUAUAGAUGGAUCCGCGCUGCAUUAGCUAGUUGGUAAGGUAACGGCUUACCAAGGCAACGAUGCAUAGCCGACCUGAGAGGGUGAUCGGCCACACUGGAACUGAGACACGGUCCAGACUCCUACGGGAGGCAGCAGUAGGGAAUCUUCCGCAAUGGGCGAAAGCCUGACGGAGCAACGCCGCGUGAGUGAUGAAGGUCUUCGGAUCGUAAAACUCUGUUAUUAGGGAAGAACAUAUGUGUAAGUAACUGUGCACAUCUCGACGGUACCUAAUCAGAAAGCCACGGCUAACUACGU
rnacentral:rRNA from 1 species